rnacentral:rRNA from 1 species
CACGACUCUCGGCAACGGAUAUCUCGGCUCUCGCAUCGAUGAAGAACGUAGCGAAAUGCGAUACCUGGUGUGAAUUGCAGAAUCCCGCGAACCAUCGAGUCUUUGAACGCAAGUUGCGCCCGAGGCCACUCGGCCGAGGGCACGCCUGCCUGGGCGUCACGCC